rnacentral:rRNA from 1 species
GCUUGUCUCAAAGAUUAAGCCAUGCAUGUCUAAGUAUAAGCACUUAUACCGUGAAACUGCGAAUGGCUCAUUACAUCAGUUAUAGUUUAUUUGAUAGUCCCCACUACUUGGAUAACCGUAGUAAUUCUAGAGCUAAUACAUGCGUCAAGUCCUGACUGCGCGAGCGGAAAGGAUGUGUUUAUUAGAUACAAAACCAAUGCCCUUCGGGGCUCCUUGGUGAUUCAUGAUAACUAUACGAAUCGCACGGCCUUGCGCCGGCGAUGGUUCAUUCAAAUUUCUUCCCUAUCAACUUUCGAUGUUUGGGUAUUGGCCAAACAUGGUUGCAACGGGUAACGGAGGGUUAGGGCUCGACCCCGGAGAAGGAGCCUGAGAAACGGCUACUACAUCCAAGGAAGGCAGCAGG